rnacentral:rRNA from 1 species
CAGUAGCCGCGGGAAUACGUAGGGUGCAAGCGUUAAUCGGAAUUACUGGGCGUAAAGCGUGCGCAGGCGGUUUGUUAAGACAGAUGUGAAAUCCCCGGGCUCAACCUGGGAACUGCAUUUGUGACUGGCGAGCUAGAGUGUGGCAGAGGGGGGUGGAAUUCCGCGUGUAGCAGUGAAAUGCGUAGAUAUGCGAAGGAACACCUAUGGCGAAGGCAGCCCCCUGGGCCAACACUGACGCUCAUGCACGAAAGCGUGGGGAGCAAACAGGAUUAGAUACCCCGGUAGUCCCUGUCUCUUAUAC